rnacentral:lncRNA from 1 species
GGUUGUCCUCUUACAAACACACACGAAACAAAAAAAUAAUUUAGCAAAAGAAGAAAAAGAAAGGAGAAAUGAAGAACCAUGGAAGACCAUGGCUCAUCACUGAUUACCUAAACCAUCUACUGUAGCAAAGUAAUACUUGAAAAGCACUUUAAAGGACAUUUUCAAGGACAGAUAAAAUCACUCUGAUGUAGGAAAAGGAAAGAAACAAAAUUAAUUAACAAGUUGCAAGCUGUGGUUGACAGAUUCUGUCACUUUUUAUUUUCUACUGUAGAUAAAUGGUAUCCUAACAAAGAGAAUCUCUUUCUUCUCAGGUUAUGAAAGCAGACUUAGGAGGUAGAGGACCCUGCAAAUGACAACUGAAUUUAAACACCUUUUCUUGUUAAUAUAUGUGUUAUAUUCAAGUAAAAGUUAAUAUUUAUGCUAAAAUCAUUUAUUGGGUUAUAUAUUCUAAAUCAUAGACAUAAAAUAAAAGUUGUCAUGAAUACAUAUUCUAAUUCAGUAGGUUUCAAACUGUAAUUGACAGUGCCUAGAGGUUCCAGAAAUGUUUGACCUAAAUUUAUUUGUCUUUAUUUGUCUUAAUGAAUAUACAAAUUAAGAAAAAAUGCACACUCCAAAAUGUAACACACCAAAUUUUAACUUUUUGUUGAGACCCCUAUCUCAUUUACUUGUGCUGUCAAAUUGCCACAUCUUUCUGCAGACCUCAAAAUAAAACAGUUCCUGACAUUUCUAGAAUAUACUUGAAAAUUUUGUAAGUGUGCCAUUGAUUAAGAAGUUUACAAUGCUUAACUGGUCUUUAAAAAAGUGCCCAAUCCAUGAUUAUAAAAGUAAAUUGUAUAAACUAAUCUAUAACUAUAGUGUAUCCACGCCACACUCAAUUAAAUGCCCAGCAAGGCACAGAAACAUCUGCUCAGCAUGUGCUUGAUUCAAUAGCAAUUUCUGUAGUCAAAAAAGGAAAAAAGUAUGACAUCGUAUUGGUUUUAGUAUUUAUUGAAAAUGCUAUUUUUUCUUAUCCAAUUUAAAUACUUAUGACAAGAAAUCAAAUCAUUUGAAACUGAUACUAAGAUUGCAAGGCAAGUUGUUUAAAAUUAAAAGCUGUUAUCAUUUCAUCUACUUUAGAUGAGUGA